rnacentral:rRNA from 1 species
CCUACGAGGGGCAGCAGUGGGGAAUAUUGGGCAAUGGGCGCAAGCCUGACCCAGCAACGCCGCGUGAAGGAAGAAGGCCCUCGGGUUGUAAACUUCUUUUAUCAGGGACGAAACAAAUGACGGUACCUGAUGAAUAAGCCACGGCUAACUCCGUGCCAGCAGCCGCGGUAAUACGGAGGAUGCGAGCGUUAUCCGGAUUUAUUGGGUUUAAAGGGUGCGCAGGCGGAAGAUCAAGUCAGCGGUAAAAUUGAGAGGCUCAACCUCUUCGAGCCGUUGAAACUGGUUUUCUUGAGUGAGUGAGAAGUAUGCGGAAUGCGUGGUGUAGCGGUGAAAUGCAUAGAUAUCACGCAGAACUCCGAUUGCGAAGGCAGCAUACCGGCGCUCAACUGACGCUCAUGCACGAAAGUGUGGGUAUCGAACAGGAUUAGAUACCCCUGUAGUC